CCUACGGGAGGCAGCAGUGAGGAAUAUUGGUCAAUGGACGGAAGUCUGAACCAGCCAUGCCGCGUGCAGGAUGACGGCUCUAUGAGUUGUAAACUUCUUUUCUCAGGGACGAAGAAAGUGACGGUACCUGAGGAAUAAGCCACGGCCAACUACGUGCCAGCAGCCGCGGUAAUACGUAGGUGGCAAGCGUUAUCCGGAUUUAUUGGGUGUAAAGGGCGUGUAGGCGGGAGCGCAAGUCAGAUGUGAAAACUCAGGGCUCAACCCUAAGCCUGCAUUUGAAACUGUGUUUCUUGAGUGCUGGAGAGGCAAUCGGAAUGCCGUGUGUAGCGGUGAAAUGCGUAGAUAUACGGAGGAACACCAGUGGCGAAGGCGGAUUGCUGGACAGUAACUGACGCUGAGGCGCGAAAGCGUGGGGAGCAAACAGGAUUAGAUACCCGAGUAGUC
rnacentral:rRNA from 1 species